rnacentral:lncRNA from 1 species
CGGGACUAGGAGUCAAAGAGGAUUCUGGGAAAUGUAGUAAAGAAGUGAUGAUCCAGGCAGGAAAUGACAUAGCAGGGAGACUCAUACAUAAAGAAGGGAAGAAGGAAGUGGGUCCCUUCUCUCUUCCUCCGGAGCCACCAUGUGAUCCCGGGAUGAGGAUGCUAAUGUAAAGUGUCCGAUAAGACCAUGAAGGCACACAUGCAAAACCAAAUUGGGUUGAGGGGAUGAGUUGGAAAGAUGGCUCAGCAGAGGACACUGGCUGCUCUUCCAGAGGACCUGGGUUCGAUUCCCAGCACCCACAUGGCAGCUCACAAUCACCUGUAACUCUACUUCCAGGGUUCCAAUGCCCUCUUCUGGCCUCCACAGGCUCCAGAUUAGUGCAUCUCUCAACCUUCAUCAGAGAAGCUGCUUUUAGCAAUAGAGACCCACAAUUGGUCAGGGUGUAGAGAAAGAUAGACUGCAGGAUGCUCAGCCCUAAGUGGGACGCCUAUAUCACACUCCUGCCUUGAAAGGCUCAGGGAUCGAUGUGGAAGAAGGGGCAAGAAGACUGUAAGAGCCAGAGGCAGUGGCUGACUACAAGAAAACUGUGUUUCCCAGACUCAACAGGGCGUCUGUGAAGAUGAACUCAGCAGUUUGUGACAUUUGCAAAAACCCAAGCCAGCACAGACAGUGGGGAGGUGGGCACGAAG